AUGCCAAUUAUAGGGGUGCCGAGGUGCCUUGAAAAACCCUUUUGCGCGCCUGCGAAGUUUCCAUUUUCGGUCAAAAAGAAUAUCCGAAUUUUAGAUUUGGACCCUCGUACAGAAGCCUAUUGUCUAAGCCUAAAUUCAGUCUGCUCUAAACGGCUUCCAUGCAAGAAAUAUUUCUAUCUCUUGAAUUCGUACAACAUUAAACGUGUGUUGGGAGUCGUAUACUGUUAG
rnacentral:sRNA from 1 species